UCUAAUAUGGCAGACAAGUGCAAUGGAUUUAAGCUCCAUAUAUAAAGGCCUAUACCUUUUGUUAGAA
rnacentral:tRNA from 4 species